rnacentral:rRNA from 1 species
GACGAACGCUGGCGGCGUGCUUAACACAUGCAAGUCGAACGGAAAGGCCCUGCUUUUGUGGGGUGCUCGAGUGGCGAACGGGUGAGUAACACGUGAGUAACCUGCCCUUGACUUUGGGAUAACUUCAGGAAACUGGGGCUAAUACCGGAUAGGAGCUCCUGCUGCAUGGUGGGGGUUGGAAAGUUUCGGCGGUUGGGGAUGGACUCGCGGCUUAUCAGCUUGUUGGUGGGGUAGUGGCUUACCAAGGCUUUGGCGGGUAGCCGGCCUGAGAGGGUGACCGGCCACAUGGGGUGGGAAUGAGGCCCGGACCCCCUUCGGGGGGGAGGAGGGGGGAAUAUUGAAAAAGGGGUGGAAGCCUGAUGGAGCAAGCCCGGGGGGGGGAGGGAGGCCUGCGGGUUGGAAGCAGAUUUCCCUUGGGCGGAAGGGUAAUGACGGUAAAGGGGUAAAAAGCCCCGGCUAACUUCGGG